ensembl:lncRNA
AUGCUCAUAAGUGGAGCAGAAACAAGCAGUUCAGAUGUUCCAGUCGCCAUUCAAACAUGUGAGAGAGUCCAGCCAGAGUCAGCGAAGAAAACUAGUUCACCUGCAGCUGACUUCAGGAGUCUAAGUGAGAGUGAGAACACAGAGCCCAGCUCAGUUUCCCCAAAAGCAGAUACUGAGGCAAGAAUUUUGCAACAAAGAUUUGGUGAAGAAUUUAGAUUGGCAUAUAAAGUACCUCCCGAAAUAAUAAUUAAACAAAAGCUAUAUAAGGUAAGCAAACAGAGUUUAAUUUACUUAGAGCAUCAAGAGAAAACACUACAUAGACAGCUUUGAAGUGGGAUAUCAUUGGGGAAAUGAGUGUACAAUAUUUAUGACUUUAUGGUUUGGACUCGAAGGAUGUUUGUAUGUGACCUCAGAAGGAGAUAAGAUUUUAUAUUGAUCAAUUUCUUCAGAACAACAGUCUAGUGCAGUCUAGCAAGGAUCUGAGCAAAGAAGAAUGUGUACUCAAGUCACAAGACCUUUUGUGGUAAUUGCAUAACUCAUAAGAGUAAUUUUUAAAUUCCCAGAAUUGCAUAACCAAUGGGAGUGGUUGUUUUGGUUCUCCCACAGAAAGAAGGAAAACCGCACAAAUAGACAGAAAGGAGAUGAGGCUUUGUGCUCAGAAAGGUGACUGCUGCUGUGGCUUCGCUGUGGCUCUUAGGGAAUGUCAGACGUGACCUCCUUCAGAAGUAAUGUGUAUUCUGUAGGGUCGCACAGCCUGAGGACCCAUUGAGAGCAUUGUAUUCAACGUGGCACGUAACAUGUUACAGUUACUCUGUGAGAUAAUGUCAGUGGAAUACCAUGGACAGAAAACCUUGAGUAAUCACAUUGCACAGACAUUCCAUUAUAGAUCUACAGUUUGAAAAUCAGGCUCAGAUUAUAGUUAAGGGGGGAAAACAAAUACUGAAUCAAACGAAGUCUUGAAAGUCAGGGGAAGAAAGGCUGAUUCUCAGAUGACUAACACCCACUUCAACAAUGAGGAUUUUGACAUAAAGACACGGUUAAAGAAAAAAAGUACAUUUUGCAAGCAUUUUAUAAAUAAAAUCUGUGAAAUAAAACAUCAUAUGUCAGAAAAAGUGGGCCAAUGUUUUGUCAAUGCAAAGAUUAAAAUUAAAGAAUAAGUUUUAAUAAGAACUGGAAUCACAAAUAAUAAAUAGGCAAAUCUGAAAAAUUCUUAAUUUCAUAUGAUUCUGAAGAUUGGUCUAAAGCUUGUGUGCAAUCAUAAUAACCUUCUUUGAGGGAAUCCUCCAUUGCAGAGCUCCCAUUAAGGUAAAAAACACUUGACUAUAUCAUUAAGAUAUGAAAUAGCCCAUGGAAGAGUUUACCAGAGGAAGAAUUAGCACAAGAACAUAAAAAGAUCCCCCUCAAAUAUUUCCUUCUUCAUACAUAGGGAUAAAAGUGGAGUAGAAGUUUUAAAAGAAAUAAUAAAAACACAUAAUUAAAUCUUCCAUAUAACAUGUUGCAUGGUGCACU